rnacentral:sRNA from 1 species
UUUUUGCGUUAGGGAUAGAAAUGGCAUCCUUUUUUGCCAUAGCCAUUUAGCAAAUUGCAAAAAAGAUAUAAUGUAUAGCCCGACCCAUC